UUGGAGGGCAAGUCUGGUGCCAGCAGCCGCGGUAAUUCCAGCUCCAAUAGCGUAUAUUAAAGUUGUUGCAGUUAAAAAGCUCGUAGUUGAAUUUCGGGAUCAAUAUGCCGGUCAUGCCUUGGUAUGCACUGGUAUCUUUGAUUUCUCCCUUCUGACGAACUUUGAUGUCAUUAAUUUGGUGUCAUAGGGAAUCAGGACUGUUACUUUGAAAAAAUUAGAGUGUUUAAAGCAGGCUCACGCUUGAAUACAUUAGCAUGGAAUAAUGAAAUAGGACGUUUGAUUCUAUUUUGUUGGUUUCUAGGAUCGACGUAAUGAUUAAUAGGGAUAGUUGGGGGCAUUAGUAUUCAAUUGUCAGAGGUGAAAUUCUUGGAUUUAUUGAAGACUAACUACUGCGAAAGCAUUUGCCAAGGAUGUUUUCAUUAAUCAAGAACGAAAGUUAGGGGAUCGAAGACGAUCAGAUACCGUCGUAGUCUUAACCAUAAACUAUGCCGACUAGGGAUCGGAUGAUGUUAAUUUUUUAAUGACUCAUUCGGCGCCUUACGGGAAACCAAAGUGUUUGGGUUC
rnacentral:rRNA from 1 species